rnacentral:rRNA from 1 species
GAGUUUGAUCCUGGCUCAGAAUGAACGCUGGCGGCAUGCCUAACACGUGCAAGUCGAACGAAGGCUUCGGCCUUAGUGGCGCACGGGUGCGUAACGCGUGGGAAUCUGCCCUUGGGUUCGGAAUAACAGUUAGAAAUGACUGCUAAUACCGGAUGAUGUCGUAAGACCAAAGAUUUAUCGCCCAAGGAUGAGCCCGCGUAGGAUUAGCUAGUUGGUGGGGUAAAGGCCCACCAAGGCGACGAUCCUUAGCUGGUCUGAGAGGAUGAUCAGCCACACUGGGACUGAGACACGGCCCAGACUCCUACGGGAGGCAGCAGUGGGGAAUAUUGGACAAUGGGCGAAAGCCUGAUCCAGCAAUGCCGCGUGAGUGAUGAAGGCCUUAGGGUUGUAAAGCUCUUUUACCCGGGAUGAUAAUGACAGUACCGGGAGAAUAAGCUCCAGCUAACUUCGUGCCAGCCGCCGCAGUAAC